rnacentral:lncRNA from 1 species
GCAAGAUUUUCCUUUGAGAAGUUCCGCAAGGUAUCAUUAUUCCCUUGAUACAGAAAAAUUAGUACAAGGGGUGACCUCCUUCCUAGCUCCAGAAUUGCCCCGAACCAAAUUUAUACUUACGGGCAGAAUUGAAAGUACUAUUGCUUCUGCCGAGAAUUUGCCCACUAGCAGUUCAACUUCCGCUUCCCACGGACCUUGAAAGGUUCUCCUUUUUACUUACAUCUUCCCAGAGCUACAGGGUAAAAUGUCCCUGCAGGCAAGGGGCUGAGCAAUUCCGGGAGCGGCAUUCCCCCAGGUGACCCCGAGUCCCCACUCAAGCCUGGUAAUAACUGCCAUCACUGAGGGUGCCAAGGAUGUGGAUUAUCUUCCCAGCGCCCCGCAAGUGAGACGUUAUCUCCGAUAUUCACUGGAGGAAAGAAAUGCCACGAAAGCUAGGGUAAUCUGCUCAAAGCCAUAAAACUCAAGAAAUGCAGAGUCCCAGUUUGAACCCAGAGGUUUCCGACUUCAAGAUCCUUGAGCUCAACUGUUACGCUUGGUGCUUAGUACUCCUCUGUCCUUGCGAAUAUGCCAAAGAAAGGUCUGACUUGUCUAGGAGGGGCUCCUGGGGCAUCUGGCUGGAAAAAGAUUCAUCCUCUAGUCCGAGAACAUUAACCAUAUCGUUGGGCUCUCCCAGCGCUGCUCCCUGAGCCUCUGAUUGACCCGUUUUCUGGGAAAACAGAGAGGUUGUGGGCAAUAACAAAAUCUGGACUCGUUAAUGGAAAACCUGAAGAAGAAACAGGUACUGUUCAGCUCUGUACUUCCAAGCUGGACCUAAAUAAUGGAAAUACGUGACCUUGGAGUUCAUGCCUUAACAAAGGGAGACUGGACGACAGCUACCUGGCUGGAGCCAAGGUUGACCGAGUGUGCAGGAUGGAGGGGAAGGAAGAGGAAGGAGGCUGCAUUGGCAUACACUGCGUGGCCACGUCCAGGAUAGAAGCAGGGGAGCCAAGGGCAAGCCUCUCCUUAGCCUGACACCACCCCUGCACAGGGGCCAAAGUCGCCUGGAAACUAUGCACACUGCUCCCGAAUGGACUUCUCCUUCAGUUCGGGCUGUUUGGGAGCACUAGUCCUCUGUGCACAGAAGGCUGGCGCUGACCCCUGAUGGGCAGCGGUGGUGUGGGAGGAAAAGCCUCAGCUGCAGAGCCUGGGGGAGGCUGGCUGGUGGGGAAGUCCGCUCAUGCUGUAACGUGAACUGCUACGCCACUAAGUAAAAGUAAAAUGCCUCAAGCGUUAUGGGAAAAAAAUUCGAAC